UACAGAGGGUGCGAGCGUUAAUCGGAAUUACUGGGCGUAAAGCGUGCGUAGACGGUAAUGUAAGUCAGAUGUGAAAGCCCCGGGCUCAACCUGGGAAUUGCAUUUGAGACUGCAUUGCUUGGGUGCGGAAGAGGGAAGCGGAAUUUCCGGUGUAGCGGUGAAAUGCGUAGAUAUCAGGAAGAACACCCGUGGCUAAGGCGGUUCUCUAGUACGGUACUGACGCUGAGACGCGAAAGCGUGGGGAGCGAACAGG
rnacentral:rRNA from 1 species